UCGAGUCGCAGCUGUGACAUCAGGACGUAGUCGUCCCAUCUCUCCUUCCAGAGGUAGAAGGCGUCACUGCGGUCGGUGGAGAUGUCCAGUCGGUCAGGCCGGGUCGGCUGCAGGCUCGUCAUACCACAGCGAUUACGAAGGACUGUUCUAGAAGCCCUCCACUCUAGCCACCUGGGGAAGGAGAAGACGAAGGCCCGCGCAAGACAGAUCGUCUACUGGCCCGGGAUCUACCGGGAUGUGGAAAAUGUCACCCGCUGCUGUACCAGCUGCCAGAGAGAUCUACCCGAUCAGCAGCAAGAAACCAUGAUGAGGAGACCGCCAGCGGAAAGGCCGUUCGAACUACACAUCGACUUUGCCGAUCGAGCCGGCAGGAAGUACCUCAACCUCGUGGCAGUGGACAGAUACUCCGGGUGGCUGUUUGUCGCCGACCUCGGUGUAAGCGCCCCCGCUUACACCGGUCCGAAGGACGAUAGCAGGCGUCAUGACGAGCGCACUCGCUACGCGACUAAGCGUAAAUGGACGGCACGGGAAAAGGGCUUUCGGCGGUACCCGGCUUUUUGAUGUCGUGUUCAGAGCCGUGCGGCGGAACGGGCUUACCCAGGACACCAACAACGGCCAGCUGGAGGUGGCGCCACGAAAGUGGUUUACGGGUGCCAGGAACCGCGACGGAGGCCGCCAGGAGAGGAGACCAGCUGGAGUUUAAGCGGAGGAGCAGAUGAGAGAAGAAGUCUAGAGAUGAGCAGAAGAGAGCAGAGAGUUUAAACAGCAUUUUUGUGUUUAUCGAUAAUAUAAAUAUUGAUCACUGA